rnacentral:tRNA from 1 species
GGAGAGGUGCCCGAGUGGCUAAAGGGGGCAGACUGUAAAUCUGUUGGCUGACGCCUACGGUGGUUCGAAUCCAUCCCUCUCCA